rnacentral:rRNA from 1 species
UACGUAGGGGGCAAGCGUUGUCCGGAAUCAUUGGGCGUAAAGCGCGUGUAGGCGGUUCGGUAAGUCUGCUGUGAAAGUCCAGGGCUCAACCCUGGGAUGCCGGUGGAUACUGUCGGACUAGAGUACGGAAGAGGCGAGUGGAAUUCCCGGUGUAGCGGUGAAAUGCGCAGAUAUCUGGAGGAACACCGGUGGCGAAGGCGGCAUCCUGGACCACGACUGACGCUGAGGAGCGAAAGCCAGGGGAGCAAACGGG